rnacentral:ncRNA from 1 species
AUAAAAGCGUUGAUGAGGAGAAGUACGAAGCAGAUGCUCUUAGAGAGAACCACCUUGGCUGAAAGUGGUUUAGCCUCUCUGUUUCCGAAAUGCCCCUCGGAGUCCACUGUCGAAUAAAGGGAAGUAGACAGGGGCGGUACCCACCGUUAACAGGUUUAAGUUGAAGGUAAGUGAAUUACCUUAAACAGAGUGGAACCGCGCCAACUGCGUCUCUGUC